UAGGAAGCAAUGAAGGGAAUAAGUAGAAAGGUAAUUUGUUAUUCAGAGAGAGAAUGGUUGGUGAGAAUUCUUUAGCAUAACUUUUUGAAGCUAUCUUGGAGCUUUAAAUUUUAAGAGAUGCAUAAAAAUGCAUAAUUAGGGUGGUACCGCGGAAGUUAGCUUUCGUCCCUUUU
rnacentral:ncRNA from 1 species